UACGUAGGGUGCGAGCGUUGUCCGGAAUUAUUGGGCGUAAAGAGCUCGUAGGCGGUCUGUCGCGUCGAUCGUGAAAACUUGGGGCUUAACCCUGAGCUUGCGGUCGAUACGGGCAUGACUGGAGUUCGGCAGGGGAGACUGGAAUUCCUGGUGUAGCGGUGAAAUGCGUAGAUAUCGGGAGGAACACCUGUGGCGAAAGCGGCUCACUGGACCAUAACUGACGCUGAUGCACGAAAGCUGGGGGAGCAAACAGG
rnacentral:rRNA from 1 species